GACACGUUGAGUCCAUGUCCCACGUUCAGGGUUCCAAGAACGCGAUCCAAGGUUUCAAUUUUUCACUUCAAAAAUUCCAUAGCAAAACGGAAGCUCCCUCUCCUCUCGAAUCGGAUUCGCGAAUUUGGAUUGUAUCCCAUAACCAAUACCGAAAUUGCAAUGACGCCAACACGAAAUCGAAAUAGAUUGAAGCAAGAAGAAUAAAGACUCACCGGUUCAGGUCGAGAAGUUGGUUGAAGAAGUUGGAAAGAAUGCCUUUUUGUUAGAGGGAGGUUAAUGAUUGUUGAAGAAAAAAACCUUGGAAAACUUUCUUGCUGCAGGGCAUUCAAGACUGGUUUGGAGGUUUCGUGGAGAGAUUCCCGGAUUGGUUUGGCGAUGACUUAUUCGGUUAAAUGAGGCAAAUGAUACUGCAGAAAAAUGACCCGGAUGGUAUAACCUCAACUCCCCAUUUAAAACCUGUUGCUGCUUACUGUUGUCGCCAACUGUGUCGGCUUUUGCACAUGGCUGUUUUUUUUGCAGGUUGUAGAAAAUGUGAGGCUUGAAUCAUGUUUGGGAAAGGAUGGUUAUGGACCAUUGCAUUGGCUUGCUUAGAAUUAGAUUUUUGCGGAAUGCUACAGCCUUUGUGGGACAUUAUUGUAACGGCUUAUGUCAUGAAUUUGAGAUGAUUGUAAAGUUGGAAAUGUAUGUAUGUAAAUGGAAUGAAUGGUUGUAAAGGUUCAUUGGAAAUGAAUAUGAAUUUAGGUAAUGGCCUAUGUUGUAACUUUGAAAUUGAAAUAUUGUAAUUGGAAUGUUAAUGAAUGAAAAUUAUUAUGGUA